GUCAGUCGAGCGGCGAACGGGUGAGUAACACGUGGAUUAUCUACCCUAAGGUGGGGAACAACCCGGGGAAACUCGGGCUGAUACCGCAUGAUACCGAAAGGUCAAAGGGGGCUCGCAAGGGCUUCCGCCAUAGGAGGAGUCUGCGUCCGAUUAGCUAGUUGGUAGGGUAAUGGCCUACCAAGGCGACGAUCGGUAGCCGGCCUGAGAGGGUGAUCGGCCACACUGGAACUGAGACACGGUCCAGACUCCUACGGGAGGCAGCAGUGGGGAAUUUUGCGCAAUGGGCUAACGCCUGACGCAGCAACGCCGCGUGGAGGAUGAAGGUCCUUGGAUUGUAAACUCCUGUCAGCAGGGAAAAAGCGACUCGGUCUAAUA
rnacentral:rRNA from 1 species